rnacentral:rRNA from 1 species
GACGAACGCUGGCGGCGUGCCUAAUACAUGCAAGUUGAGCGAUGAAGAUUGGUGCUUGCCCCAAUUUGAAGAGCAGCGAACGGGUGAGUAACGCGUGGGGAAUCUGCCUUUGAGCGGGGGACAACAUUUGGAAACGAAUGCUAAUACCGCAUAAUAACUUUAAACAUAAGCUUUAAGUUUGAAAGAUGCAAUUGCAUCACUCAAAGAUGAUCCCGCGUUGUAUUAGCUAGUUGGUGAGGUAAAGGCUCACCAAGGCGAUGAUACAUAGCCGACCUGAGAGGGUGAUCGGCCACAUUGGGACUGAGACACGGCCCAAACUCCUACGGGAGGCAGCAGUAGGGAAUCUUCGGCAAUGGACGAAAGUCUGACCGAGCAACGCCGCGGGAGUGAAGAAGGUUGUCGGAUCGUAAAACUCGGUUGGUAGAGAAGAACGUUGGUGAGAGUGGAAAGCUCAUCAAGUGACGGUAACUACCCAGAAAGGGACGGCUAACUACGUG